rnacentral:rRNA from 1 species
GAUGAACGCUGGCGGCGUGCCUAAUACAUGCAAGUCGAGCGAACAGACGAGGAGCUUGCUCCUCUGACGUUAGCGGCGGACGGGUGAGUAACACGUGGAUAACCUACCUAUAAGACUGGGAUAACUUCGGGAAACCGGAGCUAAUACCGGAUAAUAUAUUGAACCGCAUGGUUCAAUAGUGAAAGACGGUUUUGCUGUCACUUAUAGAUGGUUCCACGCCGCAUUAGCUAGUUGGUAAGGUAACGGCUUACCAAGGCAACGAUGCGUAGCCGACCUGAGAGGAUGAUCUGCCACACGGGAACUGAGACACGGUCCAGACUCCUACGGGAGGCAGCAGUAGGGAAUCUUGCGCAAUGGGCGAAAGCCUGACGGAGCAACGCCGCGUGAGUGAUGAAGGUCUUCGGAUCGUAAAGCUCUGUUAUUGGGGAAGAACAAAACUGUGAGUAUAUAUGCAUGUUAUGACGGUACCUGAUCAGAAAGCCACGGCUAACUACGUG